ACGGCAGUGGUCCAGUGGCAAGACAUCACCCUCCCAAGGUGAUUACCCGGGUUCAAAUCCCGGCUGCCGUA
rnacentral:tRNA from 1 species